GCACGUUGCAACACCGGUUAUUGUACGAUCGACGAAGUUAAGCAACGUCGAGUCUGGUUAGUACCUACAUAGGUGAGCGCUUGGGAAUACCCGGUGCUGUAAG